AUUAGAUAAAAAACCAAUGCCCUUCGGGGCUUUCUGGUGAUUCAUAAUAACUAAACGAAUCGCAUGGCCUUGAGCCGGCGAUGGUUCAUUCAAAUUUCUGCCCUAUCAACUUUCGAUUGUAGGAUAGAGGCCUACAAUGGUUUCAACGGGUAACGGAGAAUUAGGGUUCGGUUCCGGAGAGGGAGCCUGAGAAACGGCUACCACAUCCAAGGAAGGCAGCAGGCGCGCAAAUUACCCAAUCCCGACACGGGGAGGUAGUGACAAUAAAUACUGAUACAGGGCUCUUUUGGGUCUUGUAAUUGGAAUGAGUACAAUUUAAAUCCCUUAACGAGGAACAAUUGGAGGGCAAGUCUGGUGUCAGCAGCCGCGGUAAUUCCAGCUCCAAUAGCGUAUAUUAAAGUUGUUGCAGUUAAAAAGCUCGUAGUUGAACCUUGGGUCUGGCUGGCCGGUCCGCCUCACCGCGUGCACUGGUCCGGCCGGACCUUUCCUCUUGGGGAUCCGCAUGCCCUUUACUGGG
rnacentral:rRNA from 1 species